GACGUAGGGCGCGAGCGUUGUCCGGAUUUAUUGGGCGUAAAGAGCUCGUAGGCGGCUUGUCGCGUCGACUGUGAAAACCCGCGGCUCAACUGCGGGCCUGCAGCCGAUACGGGCAGGCGUAGAGUUCGGUAGGGGAGACUGGAAUUCCUGGUGUAGCGGUGAAAUGCGCAGAUAUCAGGAAGAACACCAGCGGCGAAGGCGGCACUCUGGGCUGGAAUUGACGCUGAGGAGCGAAAGUGUGGGUAGCAAACAGG
rnacentral:rRNA from 1 species